rnacentral:rRNA from 1 species
ACUCAAUAGAUACCCUGGUAGUCCACGCCCUAAACGAUGAGUGCUAGAUAUCGGGACUUGUUCUUGGUGUCGCAGCUAACGCGUUAAGCACUCCGCCUGGGAAGUACGAUCGCAAGAUUAAAACUCAAAGGAAUUGACGGGGACCCGCACAAGCGGUGGAACAUGUGGUUUAAUUCGAUGCUACGCGAAAACCUUACCAGGCUUUGACAUGGUGAUCAUAUGGCACAGAGAUGUGCUAGUCGGUUCGGCCGGAUCAUCACAGGUGUUGCAUGGCUGUCGUCAGCUCGUGUCGUGAGAUGUUGGGUUAAGUCCCGCAACGAGCGCAACCCUUAUCCUUAGUUACCAGCGGGUUAUGCCGGGCACUCUAAGGAAACUGCCGGUGAUAAGCCGGAGGAAGCGGGGAUGACGUCAAGUCAGCAUGGCCCUUACAGCCUGGGCUACACACGUGUUACAAUGGUAGUGACAAUGGAAGCAAUAGUGCAAACUGGAGCAAAUCCCAAAAGCUA